UACGAACUGUGCAAACGUUAUUCGGAAUCACUGGGCUUACAGGGUGCGUAGGCGGCUUGUUAAGUAGGGUGUGAAAGCCCCCGGCUCAACCGGGGAAUUGCGCCCUAAACUGGCGAGCUGGAGUGAGAUAGGGGUGUGUGGAACUUCCGGUGGAGCGGUGAAAUGUGUUGAUAUCGGAAGGAACGCCGGUGGCGAAAGCGACACACUGGAUCUUGUCUGACGCUGAAGCACGAAAGCCAGGGGAGCGAACGGG
rnacentral:rRNA from 1 species